GAUGGACGCUGGCGGCGUGCCUAAUACAUGCAAGUCGAGCGAACGGACGAGAAGCUUGCUUCUCUGAUGUUAGCGGCGGACGGGUGAGUAACACGUGGAUAACCUACCUAUAAGACUGGGAUAACUUCGGGAAACCGGAGCUAAUACCGGAUAAUAUUUUGAACCGCAUGGUUCAAAAGUGAAAGACGGUCUUGCUGUCACUUAUAGAUGGAUCCGCGCUGCAUUAGCUAGUUGGUAAGGUAACGGCUUACCAAGGCAACGAUGCAUAGCCGACCUGAGAGGGUGAUCGGCCACACUGGAACUGAGACACGGUCCAGACUCCUACGGGAGGCAGCAGUAGGGAAUCUUCCGCAAUGGGCGAAAGCCUUACGGAGCAACGCCGCGUGAGUGAUGAAGGUCUUCGGAUCGUAAAACUCUGUUAUUAGGGAAGAACAUAUGUGUAAGUAACUGUGCACAUCUUGACGGUACCUAAUCAGAAAGCCACGGCUAACUACGUG
rnacentral:rRNA from 1 species